GUAUAUUGGUACAAGGGUGAUGAGGAGCGCGCUGCCGAGCAAGAGAACUCAAAGAAGACCAGUGAGAAAGUUGAUAGAUGUAGUGAGGGAAGACAUGAGGGCAGUUGAUGUCAGAGAGGAGGUUGCAUGAGAUAGGCUUUCACAUGAGGUGUGGGGUUGUGACCGGACAUGGCCCUCAAACAUUUCGGACACCCGAUGUCACGUGUACAAGCCACGUGAGUAUCCCCAUCCUUUGCCAAUGCUGUGUGACCUCUGGACGUGACCCCUAACAUCUCAGACAUCCCCAUGCCACAUGCACAAGCCACGUUAUGACCUCAUUCUUUGUAGCUGCCUUGCCAAAAGUCGUGGGACGCACCAUCGAUUUGGGACGGGUCUGGAAAGGACCAUAUUCACAGGUGUCCCUGAACAUGAUGUCAUGCGACCAAAACGCCAGGAAACAUGAUCUCACUUUGUUUUCGCCGGAUGUGAUGUGAUUUUGUUUUUACCGGAUGUGACGUCAUUUCGUUUUUACUGGCUGUGACGUCAAUGGGGACAGGUGGCCCGGAAGGAGACGUCAUAGGCAACAAAUCAUUUAGUCAUUUUCCCUAUAUUAAUACUCUCUACUGUGACCAAUCUAAAAAAGGAGAAAAAGGCUUGUGUUUGUUAUGUUUGCUUCAGUUGUAUUGUACUAAGAAGCUUGGACACAAACGCAUACCAUUUUUCAGUUUGAUUAGCUGCUCAAUGAGCAAAGUCUGCGGAGAUAUCCUAAAGUCAAAAGUCGAGGACUGCUGUGUCGUCUUGAAAGUGAUGCUUUGCACCACUUUUGUGGCUUAUUUUUGUCUGUCAAAUUCUGAAUUGACAACUUCAGGGAGGGCGCAGCUUACCAGCUAUACAUAUUGUAUAUACAACCCCAAUUCCAAUGAAGUUGGGACGUUGUGUUAAACAUGAAUAAAAACAGAAUACAAUAAUUUGCAAAUCAUGUUCAACCGAUAUUUAAUUGAAUACACUACAAAGACAAGAUAUUUAAUGUUCAAACUGAUAAACUUGAUUGUUUUUAGCAAAUAAUCAUUAACUUAGAAUUUUAUGGCUGCAACACGUUUAAAAAAAGCUGUGACAGGUGGCAAAAAAGACUGAGAAAGUUGAGGAAUGCUCUUCAAACACCUGUUUGGAACAUCCCACAGGUGAACAGGCUAAUUGGGAACAGGUGGGUGGCAUGAUUGGGUAUAAAAGGAGCUUCCCUGAAUUGCUCAGUCAUUCACAAGCAAAGAUGGGGCGAGGUUCACCUCUUUGGGAACAAGUGCGUGAGAAAAUAGUUGAACAGUUUAAGGACAAUGUUCCUCAACGUACAAUUGCAAGGAAUUUAGGGAAUUCAUCAUCUACAGUCCAUAAUAUCAUUAAAAGGUUCAGAGAAUCUAGAGAAAUCACUGCAUAUAAGCGGCAAGGCCGAAAACCAACAUUGAAUGCCCGUGACCUUCGAUCCCUCAGGCAGCACUGCAUCAAAAACUGACAUCAAUGUGUAAAGGAUAUCACCACAUGGGCUCAGGAACACUUCAGAAAACCAAUGUCAGUAAAUACAAUUCGGCGCUACAUCCGUAAGUACAACCUGAAACUCUAGUAUGCAACGCAAAAGCGAUUUAUCAACAACACCCAGAAACGGCGCCAGCUUCUCUGCGCCCGUGCUCAUUGAAGAUGGACUGAUGCAAAGUGGAAAAGUGUUCUGUGGUCCGACGAGUCCACAUUUCAAAUUGUUUUUGGAAAUUGUGGGCCAGAGGAAAAGAGCCAUUUGGACUGUUAUGGACGCAAAGUUAAAAAGCCAGCAUCUUUGAUGGUAUGGGGCUGUGUUAGGGCCAAUGGCAUGGGUAACUUACACAUCUGUGAAGGCACCAUUAAUGCUGAAACAUACAUACAGGUUUUGGAGCAACAUAUGUUUCCAUCCAAGCAACGUAUUUUUCAUAGACGCCCCUUCUUAUUUCAGCAAGACAAUGCCAAACCACAUUCUGCAUGUGUUACAACAGCGUGGCUUUGUAGUAAAAGAGUGCGGGUACUAGACUGGCCUGCCUGCAGUCCAGACCUGUCUCCCAUUGAAAAUGUGUGGCGCAUUAUGAAGCACAAAAUACGACAACGGAGACUGUUGAACAGCUGAAGCUGUACAUCAAGCAAGAAUGGGAAAGAAUACCACCUACAAAGCUUCAACAAUUAGUGUCCUCAGUUCCCAAACGUUUAUUGAAUGUUGUUAAAACAAAAGGUGAUGUAACACAAUGGUGAACAUGACCCUGUCCCAGGUUUUUUGAAACAUGUUGCAGCAAUAAAAUUCUAAAUUAAUGAUUAUUUGCUAAAAACAAUCAAGUUUAUCAGUUUGAACAUUAAAUAUAUUGUAUUCUAUUAAAUAUAGGUCAAACAUGAUUUGCAAAUCAUUGUAUUCUGUUUUUAUUUAUGUUUAAUACAACGUCCCAACUUCAUUGGAAUUGGCGUUGUAUGUAUAAUUUCAAUGUGGUUAGGGUAUUUAAUUUUCCUAAAUUUCAUUAAAUUACAAAAGCAAACAAAAUUAUGCAAUGCUAAAAACAAUACUAAAAAAAUAUCAUAUUUCUACUAGGGGUUGGACUCAAUUAAAAAAAAUUAUCUAAUUAAUUUGAGGCUUUGUAAUAAAUCUAAAUUAAUCGCAUUUCAACUGUAUAACAAUUUUUGUCCUAAAAAGCAACAUGGUUUAAUUUAAAUAGAUUUUAUUGGACGACUGCAUCAAAUAAUUAAUACUGACAGGAACAUUGUUAACUCUGGAAGAAUGCUUUUAAUUGCAUUUAAAUACAAAACAGUAGAAAAACUAAUAGAAAAUAUCCCUGGCCAAAAUCAAACAGACCUAAUGUUAAAGAGUCAUUUUAGAACAGUUUUUUAGAACAGUAUUGCCGAGAAAUGGUUUCUAUGUGGCACCUUUAUCUAGGCUACCAUCGAGCAGUUUUUUUGUUUGUUUGUUUUUUAAUUAAUGAAAUUUGCCUCCCAUCAGUCCUUGCAACACUGUUUUAUCCAAUAUCUCCAUUUUGGUAACUGAGCGCUGAUGUGUGCAUCAGUGUAAUCGGUGUACCAUGAAAUCGUACAAUGACAACGGUUCCGCAUUGUAUGGAACACAAAAUGUGAUUAA